GGCGUGAUAGCAAAGUGGUUACUGCGUGUGAAUAGAAUUUAUGACCACGGUUCAUCACAUUCCUUCGCGAGCGUAGGUUCGAGUCCUGCCCACGUCG
rnacentral:tRNA from 1 species